ensembl:lncRNA
CAUGAAGGAAGUGCAGGGAGAGUACAUCCUGCAGUUUGGAAAGUAUAAAGGGAAAUCUUUCCAGUGGCUUCUGGAGAAUGAAUGUCGGGUACACCAUGUACCUGAUCAAAGAUCUCCAGAAGCAAGAGGCUGCAGGGACCUCUGUGGAAGAAGGACAUGGCAAGGAGAGCUUGCAUUCAUUUGUACAGUAUGCCCUCAGCUUUACAGAGAUAAAAACUCUUCUGAACUACGAGGCCAGCAGAGUGAGUGUUGGAGCAGAAGCCUGUGAGGAUGAUCAGCUGGUUGGCUUUGGCUCAUGAGCCAAGAGCACCUGGAAGGAGAUUUGGGGUGGCAGAGGUGACGGCUAUGGAGACUUUAUCACGAGGAAGAGCUGCAGUCAAGGAACACGGAUGCAUAAGCUGCAGCAGUACGUGCGGAAGAAGCAGCAGUCUGUGUCUGCUUCCACAAAUGCUCCAACUAAACCCCUGGGGAUGGAUGAGGAUAAAGACCUGGAGGACGCAAUGCUGAGCAUCUCACCUGUAAAACUACACAUGCAGAGCUUCACUGUGCCAGCAGCAGCAGAAGGGUCCACACCCAGAGGAUCUUCAGGAGCAAACACAGGUUUUCAAAUGAAAGGUUUCAGAACUGGAGUAAAAUAGUUUUACAUGAAUUGCUCUCCAAAGCUGAGCCUGAACUUUUAUAUAUUGUCUUGUUCUUGUUUUUGUGUGUUCUGGCCACGUUCCGGCGAUGUUCCUCUAAUAGUAUAGUUGUAUGCUGGCUGUAUGGUGGAAGAAAACAGUAAAUAAGGGAGAAACAGUUGAUAUUGUAC